AAAACGACUCUCGGCAACGGAUAUCUCGGCUCUCGCAUCGAUGAAGAACGCAGCGAAAUGCGAUACUUGGUGUGAAUUGCAGGAUCCCGCGAACCAUCGAGUNUUUGAACGCAAGUUGCGCCCGAAGCCUUUUGGCCGAGGGCACGUCUGCCUGGGUGUCACUC
rnacentral:rRNA from 1 species